GACGAACGCUGGCGGCGUGCCUAAUACAUGCAAGUUGAGCGCUGAAGGUUGGUACUUGUACCGACUGGAUGAGCAGCGAACGGGUGAGUAACGCGUGGGGAAUCUGCCUUUGAGCGGGGGACAACAUUUGGAAACGAAUGCUAAUACCGCAUAAAAACUUUAAACACAAGUUUUAAGUUUGAAAGAUGCAAUUGCAUCACUCAAAGAUGAUCCCGCGUUGUAUUAGCUAGUUGGGGAGGUAAAGGCUCACCAAGGCGAUGAUACAUAGCCGACCUGAGAGGGUGAUCGGCCACAUUGGGACUGAGACACGGCCCAAGCUCCUACGGGGGGCCGCAGUAGGGAAUCUUCGGCCAUGGACGAAAGUCCGACCGGGCAACGCCGCGGGAGUGAAGAAGGGUUUCCGGUCCGAAAACUCUGUUGGUAGAGAAGAACGUUGGUGGGAGUGGAAAGCGCAUCAAGUGACGGUAACUACCCAGAAAGGGACGGCUAACUACGUG
rnacentral:rRNA from 1 species